GAUGAAGAACUUAGCGAAAUGCGAUAAGUAGUGUGAAUUGCAGAAUUCAGUGAAUCAUCGAAUCUUUGAACGCACAUUGCGCCCUUUGGUAUUCCAAAGGGCAUGCCUGUUCGAGCGUCAUUUGUACCCUCAAGCUUUGCUUGGUGUUGGGCGUCUUGUCUCCAGUUCGCUGGAGACUCGCCUUAAAGUAAUUGGCAGCCGGCCUACUGGUUUCGGAGCGCAGCACAAGUCGCGCUCUCUUCCAGCCAAGGUCAGCAUCCACAAAGCCUUUUUUCAACUUUUGACCUCGGAUCAGGUAGGGAUACCCGCUGAACUUAAGCAUAUCAAUAAGCGGAGGA
rnacentral:misc_RNA from 1 species